rnacentral:rRNA from 1 species
GAUGAACGCUGGCGGCGUGCCUAAUACAUGCAAGUAGAACGCUGAAGGAGGAGCUUGCUCUUCUGGAUGAGUUGCGAACGGGUGAGUAACGCGUAGGUAACCUGCCUGGUAGCGGGGGAUAACUAUUGGAAACGAUAGCUAAUACCGCAUGACAACAGUUAUUGCAUGAUAACUGUUUAAAAGGGGCAACUGCUCCACUACCAGAUGGACCUGCGUUGUAUUAGCUAGUUGGUGAGGUAACGGCUCACCAAGGCGACGAUACAUAGCCGACCUGAGAGGGUGAUCGGCCACACUGGGAAUGAGACACGGCCCAGACUCCUACGGGAGGCAGCAGUAGGGAAUCUUCGGCAAUGGACGGAAGUCUGACCGAGCAACGCCGCGUGAGUGAAGAAGGUUUUCGGAUCGUAAAGCUCUGUUGUAAGAGAAGAACGAGUGUGAGAGUGGAAAGUUCACACUGUGACGGUAUCUUACCAGAAAGGGACGGCUAACUACGUG